rnacentral:lncRNA from 1 species
GACAAAUAAGGGCAUUCCAGCAUACACUGGGGCUUUUUAAAAAUCCCUUUUUUUAACCAUGCAGCAACAAGUGGCAGAAUCAAUGGUGUACAGUUAUUCAGCAAUGUAAUUCAUUUCACUGGCUUUGGCUCCUAGCCAGAUCCGCCAUCUGUCUCUAGCUCUCCCUCUCCCCCUUCUCUCCCUCUCCCUCUCUUUCGCUUGAAUUUGUCCUACAUUUCGUAAUGUUACGUGCCUGCCAUCCUUAUCCUAUGCCAGAGGUACAACACCAGUCUCACCCCCAUUCCAGCGUGGAGUUCUCUGAGUUCGGUGGCACUUGGGAUAUUCCACUUCAGUGCCAUGGGAAGAAAAUGCUUCAGCCAUGAUUGCAAGUCUCCUGAGAUGUCCCCAGAAGCAGAAGCCUGUAGAGCCCACAGAACAGUGAGCACAUUAAAACUCUUUUCUUUGUAAAUUACCCAAUCUCAGGUAUGUCUUUAUAGCAGUGCAAGAACA